CUAUGACUUUAUUAAGUCAUGGCGGAAGGAG
rnacentral:ncRNA from 1 species